UCGUCAGUGAGGUAUAUCCUUACCUGUUCCUCCUUUGGGAGAACAGAAAAUGAUGAAUGGAGAGGCAUGAGAGAUGAUUAGACUCUCCGCCAGCCGGGGAACAGCAACACCCCGGUUUGCUCCUUUCUGAU
ensembl:snoRNA U8 U8 small nucleolar RNA